UGUGGUUAGGGGUGAAAUGCCAAUCGAACUCGGAGCUAGCUGGUUCUCCCCGAAAUGUGUUGAGGCGCAGCGGUUGAGGUUUAAAUCUGGGGGUAAAGCACUGUUUCGGUGCGGGCGGAGAAAUCUGUACCAAAUCGAGGCAAACUCUGAAUACCAGAUGUACACUCAGCCAGUGAGACGGUGGGGGAUAAGCUUCAUCGUCAAGAGGGAAACAGCCCAGACCACCAGCUAAGGUCCCCAAAUUGUCACUAAGUGAUAAAGGAGGUGGGAGUGCAAAGACAACCAGGAGGUUUGCCUAGAAGCAGCCAUCCUUGAAAGAGUGCGUAAUAGCUCACUGGUCAAGUGAUUCCGCGCCGACAAUGUAGCGGGGCUCAAGUUAUCCGCCGAAGCUGUGGCAACUUUUUUAAGUUGGGUAGGGGAGCGUCGUGUUCGUGGUGAAGCAGCCUGGUGAUGGGUUGUGGAGUGGAUGCGAGUGAGAAUGCAGGCAU
rnacentral:rRNA from 1 species